UACGUAGGGGGCAAGCGUUGUCCGGAAUUAUUGGGCGUAAAGAGCGUGUAGGCGGUCCGGUAAGUCAGCUGUGAAAGUCAAGGGCUCAACCCUUGAAUGCCGGUUGAUACUGUCGGGCUAGAGUCCGGAAGAGGCGAGUGGAAUUCCCGGUGUAGCGGUGAAAUGCGCAGAUAUCAGGAAGAACACCCGUGGCGAAGGCGGCUCUCUGGGACGGUACUGACGCUGAGACGCGAAAGCGUGGGGAGCGAACAGG
rnacentral:rRNA from 1 species